AUAAAGUUUUAUUUUAGCUAAAUUUUUUGUUAGUAGUUUUUUUUAUAUGUAAAUUUAUGUGUGAAUUUUUAAUUGUUCUUAAGGAAUUUUAAAUUUUGUUUAUUCGCAGUAUUCAAUUUUGUAAAUUAAAGAAAUUUAGAUAUGGGUAUAUAAUUAGUGUAGGUAAAUUUUGUGCCAGCAUCCGCGGUUAUACAAAAUACACAAAUAAAAAUAAUUAUUUUGUAGUUAAAUUUUAGGGGAGUAAAUAUAACAUUAUUUUAAAAGGUGAAAUUUAGAAUAAUAUUAAGUAAUUUAUUAGUAAUGAUUUUGAAGCUAUUAAAUUUUAUAAAUAAACUAGGAUUAGAUACCCUAUUAUUAAAAAAAUAAAUAUUAGAAAAUUAGGUAGUAAUAGUUAUAGGCUUGAAACUUAAAAAAUUUGGCGGUAUUUUAGUCUUUUUAGAGGAACCUGUUUCAUGAUCGAUAUUCCACGAUUUAUUUUACAUGAUUUUAUUUAAUUUGUAUAUCGUCGUUAUAAGAAAAUCUUAAGAGAGGGAAAUUUUCUAAAAUUUUUAGUAGAUUUUAUUUCAGAUCAAGGUGCAAUAAAUAAUCAUGAGAUAAUGGGUUACAGUAAAUUUAUUUAUUUUGGAAAAUAAGAUGAAAUUUUUAUUUAAAAUUGGAUUUAAAAGUAAUUUAAAUUAUAUAGUUUUUUUGAUUAUAGCUCUAUAAUAUGCACAUAUCGCCCGUCACUCUCUUUAUUAAAAAGAGAUAAGUCGUAACAAAAGUAAGUGUACUGGAAAGUGUACUUAGAAUGAU
rnacentral:ncRNA from 1 species